AUUGAACGCUGGCGGCAGGCCUAACACAUGCAAGUCGAACGAGUGGCGGACGGGUGUGUAAUGUUUGUGACACUGCGUGAUGGUGGGGGAUCACUACUGGACACGGUAGAUAACACCGCAUUCUAUCGGCUGUGCACAGAUGGGAGUAGCUAGUAGGUGGGGUAAGGGCUCACAUAGGCGACUAUCCCUAGCUGGUCUGAGAGGAUGACCAGCCACACUGGAACUGAGACACGGUCCAGACGCCUACGGGAGGCAGCAGUGGGGAAUAUUGCACAAUGGGCGCAAGCCUGAUGCAGCCAUGCCGCGUGUAUGAAGAAGGCCUUCGGGUUGUAAAGGACUUUCAGCGGGGAGGCGUUACCCGCAGAAGAAGCACCGGCUAACUCCGUGCCAGCAGCCGCGGUAAUUC
rnacentral:rRNA from 1 species